rnacentral:rRNA from 1 species
GUUGACAGAUUGAGAGCUCUUUCUUGAUCCUAUGGGUGGUGGUGCAUGGCCGUUCUUAGUUGGUGGAGCGAUCUGUCAGGUCAAUUCCGUUAACGAACGAGACCUUAACCUGCUAACUAGUCACACGAUUCUCGAAUCGUGGCUGGCUUCUUAGAGGGACAAUUGGUGUUUAACCAAAGUCAGAAAGGCAAUAACAGGUCUGUGAUGCCCUUAGAUGUUCUGGGCCGCACGCGCGCUACACUGACGAUGGUAGCGAGUCUGACCCUUCACCGAAAGGUGUGGGUAAUCUUUUGAAACAUCGUCGUGAUGGGGACAGAUCGUUGCAAUUAUUGAUCUUGAACGAGGAAUUCCUAGUAAGCGCGAGUCAUCAGCUCGCGUUGAUUACGUCCCUCCCCUUUGUAA